UACGUAGGGACCAAGCGUUGUUCGGAUUUACUGGGCGUAAAGGGCGCGUAGGCGGCAAUUCAAGUCAUCUGUGAAAUCUCCGGGCUUAACCCGGAACGGUCAGAUGAUACUGCUUUGCUAGAGUGUGGAAGGGGCAAUCGGAAUUCUCGGUGUAGCGGUGAAAUGCGUAGAUAUCGAGAGGAACACCUGAGGUGAAGACGGGUUGUUGGGCCGACACUGACGCUGACAGCGCGAAAGCCAGGGGAGCAAACGGG
rnacentral:rRNA from 1 species